CAGUCGCCGCGGGAAUACGUAGGGUGCGAGCGUUAAUCGGAAUUACUGGGCGUAAAGCGUGCGCAGGCGGUGAUGUAAGACAGUUGUGAAAUCCCCGGGCUCAACCUGGGAACUGCAUCUGUGACUGCAUCGCUGGAGUGCGGCAGAGGGGGAUGGAAUUCCGCGUGUAGCAGUGAAAUGCGUAGAUAUGCGGAGGAACACCGAUGGCGAAGGCAAUCCCCUGGGCCUGCACUGACGCUCAUGCACGAAAGCGUGGGGAGCAAACAGGAUUAGAUACCCCUGUAGUCCCUGUCUCUUAUAC
rnacentral:rRNA from 1 species